rnacentral:tRNA from 1 species
AGCACUGUAGCUUCGUGGCAAGAGCAUGGGCUUGGAAGUCAGAGGGUGUGGGUUCUAAUCCCACCUCUGCCA